GUCUAUGGCCAUACCACCCUGAACGCACCCUAUCUUAUCUGAUCUCAGAAACUAAGCAGGGUCAGGCCUGGUUAGCACUCGGAUGGGAGAAAAAAAAACAUUGUUGUUG
rnacentral:rRNA from 1 species